GGUAUACCAUGUAACCAUGGCAACCCCACUCCUCACAUGUCAACAAACAGAACAGGCCCCACAUGCAUCGGCCCACUGGGGAUCUUCAACGGGGCACACAGAUUCCAGCAAAUUUUACUGAUGUCCUGUGGAAGUUUCAGCUGGCACCAAAUGACAUCACAGCGACCACCAGACAAGCAGAGGACUGAAACAUAGGAACAAGGCCUAAAAUGAAGCGGAGUCUACUCUUGCUUUCUCAUUAGCUAUUCUGGCCAUGUAACAAUGCAGUUGCAUUACUGUACAGAAGAUACAUAGGUACAAGCUCAGGAUUUGUCUGCAUAAGUCACCGUUUCAAGCAUAGCUGCCUGAAUCUUAAGUUCCUCAAUGAUUUGUCAUUUUCCAUCUACGCUACACACAAUAAUCAGGCCUUUGUCGCACAUGUAACCGCCCUGUCGUGUUGUGGAAUACGCUUCACAAUGCAGAAUGGAAGCAGAAUAUAGAGAUCUGACAAAUGCUAUACAAAAAAGCCAUGUAGAAGAGGGGGGAUGGGGGAAGGAGGGAGUCACAAGACAUGUAUAAAUGUCUGUUAUAUGAAUAAAUAUUAAUGCUGCCCACAGAAUAGUUGCUGGGGAUCUCCCACA